rnacentral:rRNA from 1 species
UACGGAGGGUGCGAGCGUUGUCCGGAAUCACUGGGCGUAAAGGGCGCGUAGGUGGCCUGUGGAAGUCUGCGGUGAAAGCCCGGCGCUCAACGCCGGGUCGGCCGUGGAUACUCUCGGGCUUGAGCUCACUAGAGGCAGAUGGAAUUCCGGGUGUAGCGGUGGAAUGCGUAGAGAUCCGGAAGAACACCAGUGGCGAAGGCGACUCACUGGACACGUAUUGACGCUGAGGUGCGAAAGCGUGGGGAGCAAACAGG